rnacentral:rRNA from 1 species
UGGGGAAUUUUGGACAAUGGGCGAAAGCCUGAUCCAGCAAUGCCGCGUGUGUGAAGAAGGCCUUCGGGUUGUAAAGCACUUUUGUCCGGAAAGAAAUCCUUGGCUCUAAUACAGUCGGGGGAUGACGGUACCGGAAGAAUAAGCACCGGCUAACUACGUGCCAGCAGCCGCGGUAAUACGUAGGGUGCAAGCGUUAAUCGGAAUUACUGGGCGUAAAGCGUGCGCAGGCGGUUUGCUAAGACCGAUGUGAAAUCCCCGGGCUCAACCUGGGAACUGCAUUGGUGACUGGCAGGCUAGAGUAUGGCAGAGGGGGUAGAAUUCCACGUGUAGCAGUGAAAUGCGUAGAGAUGUGGAGGAAUACCGAUGGCGAAGGCAGCCCCCUGGCAAGUACUGACGCUCAUGCACGAAAGCGUGGGGAGCAAACAGGAUUAGAUACCCUGGUAGUCCACGCCCUAAAACGAUGUCAACUAGUUGUUGGGGG